UACGAAGGGUGCAAGCGUUACUCGGAAUUACUGGGCGUAAAGCGUGCGUAGGUGGUUCGUUAAGUCUGAUGUGAAAGCCCUGGGCUCAACCUGGGAACUGCAUUGGAUACUGGCGAUCUGGAGUGCGGUAGAGGGUGGCGGAAUUCCCGGUGUAGCAGUGAAAUGCGUAGAUAUCGGGAGGAACACCGGUGGCGAAGGCGGCAUCCUGGACCAACACUGACGCUGAGGAGCGAAAGCCAGGGGAGCAAACGGG
rnacentral:rRNA from 1 species